rnacentral:rRNA from 1 species
GCGACGUGCCUAAGGUAUGCAAGUCGAAUGCCGAUUUAUCUGGCAUGGCAGACGGCUGAGUAAUACAUGGGAAUCUACCUCAAACUCGAGAAUAGCCCAUCGAAAGGUGGUGUAAUACUCGAUAGUUCCGUUUACGGUAAAGCUCCGGCGGUUUGAGAUGAGCCCAUGUCCUAUCAGGUUGUUGGUGGGGUAAUUGCCUACCAAGCCUAUGACGGGUAGCUGGUUUGAGAGGAUGAUCAGCCAGACUGGGACUGCGAUACGGCCCAGACUCCUACGGGAGGCAGCAACUAGGAAUCAUGCGCAAUGGACGAAAGUCUGACGCUGCGACGUCGCGUGAGGGAUGAAGGUCUUCGGAUCGUAAACCUCUUUUAUCUGGGAACAAGUUCUGAGUGUACCAGAUGAAUAAGUGCCUGCCAACCACGUGCCAGAAGCAUCGGUAAUGCGUGGGGCACGAGCGUUAUCCGGAUUUACUGGGCGUAAAGAGAUGCGUAGGCGCCUUUUUAAGUCACUUGUAAAAUCUCCCCGCUCAACGGGGAAACUGCAAGUGAUACUGAAUUGGUUGAGUCAAGUAGAGGAGAGGGGAAUUCCUGGUGGAGCGGUUAAAUGCGUUGAUAUCAGGAGGAAUACCAAGUGCGAAGGCACCUCUCUGGACUUGUACUGACGCUAAGGCUCGAAAGUGUGGGGAGCAAAACGGAUUAGAUACCCGUGUAGUCCACACUGUAAACGAUCCCUGCUAG